AGAGUUUGAUCAGUGGCUCAGGACGAACGCUGGCGGCGUGCUUAACACAUGCAAGUCGAACGAUGAAGCCGGAGCUUGCUCUGGUGAAUUAGUGGCGAACGGGUGAGUAACACGUGAGUAACCUGCCCAUGACUCUGGGAUAACUGCGGGAAACUGUAGCUAAUACCGGAUACGACCCUUGGAGGCAUCUCCUGAGGGUGGAAAGAAUUUCGGUCAUGGAUGGACUCGCGGCCUAUCAGCUAGUUGGUGAGGUAAAGGCUCACCAAGGCGACGACGGGUAGCCGGCCUGAGAGGGUGACCGGCCACACUGGGACUGAGACACGGCCCAGACUCCUACGGGAGGCAGCAGUGGGGAAUAUUGCACAAUGGGCGCAAGCCUGAUGCAGCAACGCCGCGUGAGGGACGACGGCCUUCGGGUUGUAAACCUCUUUAGUAGGGAAGAAGCGAAAGUGACGGUACCUGCAGAAAAGCACCGGCUAACUACGUG
rnacentral:rRNA from 1 species